UACGUAGGGGGCUAGCGUUGUCCGGAAUCAUUGGGCGUAAAGCGCGUGUAGGCGGUCCGGUAAGUCCGCUGUGAAAGUCGGGGGCUCAACCCUCGGAUGCCGGUGGACGUACUGUCGGGCUUGAGUACGGAAGAGGCGAGUGGAAUUCCUGGUGUAGCGGUGAAAUGCGCAGGAGUAUCGGGAAGGAACGACCGAUGGCGA
rnacentral:rRNA from 1 species